UACGUAGGGCGCAAGCGUUUGUCCGGAAUUAUUGGGCGUAAAGAGCUCGUAGGCGGCUUGUUGCGUCGGUUGUGAAAGCCCGGGGCUUAACCCCCGGGUCUGCAGUCGAUACGGGCAGACUAGAGGUAUGCAGGGGAGAACGGAAUCCUGGUGUAGCGGUGAAAUGCGCAGAUAUCAGGAGGAACACCGGUGGCGAAGGCGGGUUCUCUGGGCAUUACCUGACGCUGAGGAGCGAAAGUGUGGGGAGCGAACAGG
rnacentral:rRNA from 1 species